rnacentral:lncRNA from 1 species
AGCUAUUUUUGGUAGGUAGGGUAGGUGGUGGUAGGUAGAGACAAUCAAGGGAUUGCUAGGCCCAAGUUGGCCCAAUUGUAUAGUGGUAGGUAGAGCUAUUUUUGGUAGGUAGGGUAGGUGGUGGUAGGUAGAGACAAUCAAGGGAUUGUUCCACUCCCAUCCGUUAGAUUAGAUCGAUCUCCACCGUCCAUUGAGGAGGUGGUCUUGUAUAAAUAGAGGUAGGGUCCUCAUUUGUAAUCAUUCACCAACAAAUCCAAUAAAGUAUUCUUCUACCAACUCUCUUGUCUUCUUACUUUCUUUCUUCGUUUUCCAUCACUAGCAUUCGAGCAACACAUUCGGGAGAGGCUGACUUAGCUAUCGCGAGGGGCGAGAAGGAGCUAAGGCCGCACGGUUCUUUGUU